GACGAACGCUGGCGGCGUGCCUAAUACAUGCAAGUAGAACGCACAGUUUAUACCGUAGCUUGCUACACCAUAGACUGUGAGUUGCGAACGGGUGAGUAACGCGUAGGUAACCUGCCUGGUAGCGGGGGAUAACUAUUGGAAACGAUAGCUAAUACCGCAUAAUAUUGAUUAUUGCAUGAUAAUUGAUUGAAAGAUGCUAUUGCAUCACUACCAGAUGGACCUGCGUUGUAUUAGCUAGUAGGUGAGGUAACGGCUCACCUAGGCGACGAUACAUAGCCGACCUGGGAGGGGGAACGGCCAAACUGGGACUGAGACACGGCCCAGACUCCUACGGGAGGCAGCAGUAGGGAAUCUUCGGCAAUGGACGAAAGUCUGACCGAGCAACGCCGCGUGAGUGAAGAAGGUUUUCGGAUCGUAAAGCUCUGUUGUAAGAGAAGAACGGGUGUGAGAGUAGAAAGUUCACACUGUGACGGUAUCUUACCAGAAAGGGACGGCUAACUACGUG
rnacentral:rRNA from 1 species